CUUCCUCUGUGGUCAUGUCAUGCGUAUCCGUGUGCGUAUCGGUGUCCGCACUCCUAUAGAAACCGGAGCAGGUGGUGCGGGCGGAGUAGCGGCAAAGUGAGUGGAGAGGAGGUGGAGCAGGUGUUCUCUGGGGCGCUCGCAUCGCGGGAUGCGAAGUUGAGAUGCGAAUCGGUUGGUGUUCUGUGGCUGGGCGCCUCUUCAGGUGAUGGCAAAAGCCGACGAAGGCGAAUGUUGUCCUACGGCCUCGGUGUCCCAAGCAAGAAGUGUUGCGCAAUGCAACCCGAGCAUCACACCUCUCGCUGGAGGCGACGUCACUCCAGUAGCUUUAAAGUCAUCACCAACCGGAGGAAAAGAAGUGGAAGACAAAGCUGCGAGGCGAAGAGCGCGUGAAGCCGCACGCAAGCGAGCGAAGCGAGCCGCCGAUAGCGAACUUCGUGCUCGGGAAGCCGCUGCGAGACGCCAACGCCGAGCUCAAAAUCCGGAAAUGUGUGCCCAAGAUGCGGCGGAGAAACGUCGACGGCGAGUCGCCGAUCCUCGAGUGAGGCAGCGCGAGGCCGAGUACAAGCGGCGACAACGGCAGGCUGAUCUCGCUGCCGCCCGCGCUCGCGAUCGCACCAGGCAAGCGGCGGCGCGCGCUCGGCGAGCCCGUUUCGAGCGCAUCUCUGGUCAGCUGUUGUCAGAGCUUUGGUCACUGUUGCAAGGUAAAUAAAUGCGAGGUAAUAAAUUUAUACUUAUGUUUCACUGGCAUGUGGUGCCAGUCCUUGCGGAGUUGACGGGUGCCAACCUUCAAGGGGCGCAACAGUGUCGCAGAGGUGAGCGCGCAGUGCUUCUGGGAACUGGCACCCUCCUUGGCAAAGAGUAAAGCCCUCCCUUUGGUGCAGCAGGGUCAACGAGAACAGUCUACAGCUGCAGCUACUGUUCGCCGGAGUUUCGACCUCACCAACUAUGUAGGAGUGUGUACGUGGGCGCUCAAGUGCCCCUUGUGUUCAAAGGCGUGUUCAAACUAGACCUCAAUGCAGGACUACAUCCCCACUUACAUCGAGGAGCUAGGAACAAAGUGCCUCUUGUGCGAGCGUUAUGUCGCUGGUGAGAACUCGGCUUUGUUAAGUGACAAAAUGCGGCUUCUCAAUUUUAAACCAGUCGUGUGCAGCGUCCGCAAGUCGUCCUUCUUCAACAGUUACAGCAUCACCGCGCUCACGUGCUGGCCUUCCGGCCAGCAGAGAUGCUGGACGUUCCCAUUCAGGGCUACACCUCAAUGUCAGCAUCAUAUGUGCCAUAACAGGUAUUGAGAAAGAACAUUGUACCAGAGUGUUGCGAGCGCUUAUGAUAUUGUAUAUCAGUGACGUGAAGCAGCAUGAAGUACUUUGCCUUCAUUCAUUCUUCAUUCGUUGUACUGUGUAGUCAGCCUCGGGACACCCAACCUUGCAUUGGUGUAUCGAAGGUGACGCCCCCUACAGCAGAUGCCUCGAUUGUGUUGUCGGGAGUAGUGAAGCACUGCUUUCAGCUCAUUAAAUAUUUUCAAGUGGUUGGUCUGUGCAGUUGAAAGUGUCUUAACUUUGUGGCACAGUCCUCAAUAUACCAGAGCAUGCUCAUGUUUUUUGCCAGCUUUCUCAUCUGUGUAACAUCCCCACAUGAAAAAGGAGUACUACUCUGUACUUCUCGCUGACAUUGUCAUUAAAAGUGUUGCAAGUGUCAGGUA